GACUUUGUAGUGAAAUUCAUGGUGAGUUGCAAGCUCAUCGAUGUGCAUUAAUCUGCGCCGAGGUCU
rnacentral:tRNA from 1 species